UACGUAGGGACCAAGCGUUGUUCGGAUUUACUGGGCGUAAAGGGCGCGUAGGCGGCGCGGUAAGUCACUUGUGAAAUCUCUGAGCUUAACUCAGAACGGUCAAGUGAUACUGCUGUGCUAGAGUGCGGAAGGGGCAAUCGGAAUUCUCGGUGUAGCGGUGAAAUGCGUAGAUAUCGAGAGGAACACCUGGGGUGAAGACGGGUUGCUGGGCCGACACUGACGCUGAUGCGCGAAAGCCAGGGGAGCAAACGGG
rnacentral:rRNA from 1 species